GACAGAGGGUGCAAACGUUGCUCGGAAUCACUGGGCGUAAAGGGCGUGUAGGCGGGAAGGAAAGUCAGAUGUGAAAUCCCUGGGCUCAACCCAGGAACUGCAUUUGAAACUCCCUUUCUUGAGUGUCGGAGAGGAAAGCGGAAUUCCUGGUGUAGAGGUGAAAUUCGUAGAUAUCAGGAGGAACACCGGUGGCGAAGGCGGAUCUCUGGACCAGUUCUGACACUGAGGCGCGAAAGCGUGGGUAGCGAACAGG
rnacentral:rRNA from 1 species